rnacentral:lncRNA from 1 species
GCCAAAGCCCGGAAGCGGCCGAAGGAAACAAACUUUCCCAACAUCGCGGCGGGGAGGGGGGGCGCCCGCAGGAGAAAAGGAAACCCCGCCCCUCCAGGUGGAACCUCCAGCGCCCAGCGCAGCCGGCGGACUCCGGGAAGAGGCGACCGCAAGCCGGGGAUGGGCCAUUGAAAGGGAGAAGCGCCGAGGAGGAGGAAGAGGAGGCGGCAACCAACCGGCCGGGAGAAAAGCCCCCCAGAGACGCCUCGAAGAGAGAGAGAAACCUGCCUUCCUUCCUUCCUUCCUUCCUUCCAAACCGGAGGGCCAUGGGGGCCCCUCAGCCCCUCCAGGCCAAAACGAGGGGUCUCCCCUGCGUCGUUCUGGUGGGGCUCCUGCUGGGUAUCAUUCAGGCUGUGGAAAGUAACCCCUCACGUACGGCUGUUUGUCCAGGUUAUCCCGAUGUCCGGAGAGAACCGCAAGGCCUAAUCCAUAGCCCUUCGGCCCGCGUGACAACUUCCAGCAGCUGUUCCUGGGUGAUCGUGGGUGGCCCGGACGAUAUCAUCUACAUUGGGUUCCAGCACUUCUUCCUUUCCUGUGGGUCGGAAAUGCUGAUAAUCCGUGCACCCAAUCAGCCAUCCAGGAAAUUGUGCGGUUACACAAUGCCAGAAUCGAUUCGCAUAAAGGGUGGCAACGUGACGCUGACUUACAGUUGGAAAUUUUGGGCAAGGAACAGAUUUCUGCUGAAAU